rnacentral:rRNA from 1 species
AGGAUUCAAGCGUUAUCCGGAUUUAUUGGGUUUAAAGGGUGCGUAGGCGGUCGGAUAAGUUAGAGGUGAAAUCCCGAGGCUCAACUUCGGAAUCGCCUCUGAUACUGUUCGGCUAGAGAGUAGUUGCGGUAGGCGGAAUGUAUGGUGUAGCGGUGAAAUGCUUAGAGAUCAUACAGAACACCGAUUGCGAAGGCAGCUUACCAAGCUACUUCUGACGUUGAGGCACGAAAGCGUGGGGAGCAAACAGGAUUAGAUACCCUGGUAGUCCACGCAGUAAACGAUGAUAACUCGUUGUCGGCGAUACAAUGUCGGUGACUAAGCGAAAGCGAUAAGUUAUCCACCUGGGGAGUACGUUCGCAAGAAUG